GCUGUGCCCCUGCCUCUGCCCAGGAGAGGCUAGGAGCAUCCUUCCUUCCCCCUUGCUGUUGUCACACGUCUGCUGGGGGCAGUCGCCCUGGUUGAGAACCCCAUCUCCAGAUGCUCUCCCAUGCCCUGCCUUAGGGCUACCUGGCCCGGAUCUAUACGCAAACCCUGGGCUUUAGACGCAGUCUUUGGAGGGAAACGGAGUGUGUACCCCCCCAGCUGAGCGUGGAGGCUGGGGUGCCCUGGGAAUGCAGCCUGGGGGUGACCUCUGGAGUCUUACUAAGAGAAGUCGGUGGAGGGCAUUGGCUUCCUGGUGGGAAGCUGAGCCUUCCCUUGGGGCUUGAUCAUAUUUCUUGACCCCAGAACGUCUCUUGGUUUUUUCCUCCCUCUUACCAUCCCUCAUCCUCUUCAGGAAAAAAAAAAAAAAAUCUCUUCUGCAAAUUGCCACUUUAUCUGAAUCAUUCCUAUCGGGUGUCUAAUCCCUGCUGAUGGAAGAAGGCUGUUCUGCAUGCGAUCGCCUGCAUUUAUUUACACAUCAGCGGUGAGAGCAGGGCCUGAUGCCUUCGUCUGGAUGACACAGCUGCUCUUUAAAAAAAAAAAGGGCAUCUAUUUAAAAGGCCGUUGCUGGGAAUCAUCAGCUGAAAAACAACGCCGAGAUGGCUGUGCAGUGUGACAAUGGUUCUGGCGCAGCCUGGCCGUGGACGGGGGCCUGUCGCAUUUCUGAUCGAUAAUAAGCUGGUUCAGGAGCGAUGCGCCAGCAUCCCGUGUGCUUGCAACCCACAAUUAGCACACAGAUUGCCCCUCCCUGGAGCCGCGGAGCACGUGCAAAGCGGCUUCAGCCACACCCUGCAGAGCGCCGACCGCCCUGGAGCUGGCUCUGUGGUUGAGGGACACCUAGUAGUGAUGCCACCAGUCUUGUUCGUGACGACCAGUGGCUCACACAGCCUGGAGCCUGCACGACCUGCCCGUGAGCGGUCAGUGAACCCGCGGGGGUGGGCCGGGCCAGCUGGCUCCACCUGUGAAGGACCUGGGGCUCACCAUGGCCAGGCCCACGUAGUAGCCCACACUCCAUCCGUAGGUACCAGGCAGUGGGGGGAGCUGGGCCCGGUUCCCCCAGGGGGUGAGGAUGGGGCUGACCUGAGGGUCUGGAGCCCAGAGCUGAGACACCCUUGUAGACAAGUAGGGGUGCGUCUCAGCUCCUUCCUGCUGGGCCUCCCGCUCUCCUGGCCUGAACACAGAGGAACCCGUCCCAGCCUCUGA
rnacentral:lncRNA from 1 species